CCCCCGAGCAUUUCGGUCCCUCGUGAUUCGACUUCUCUUUCUGUAGUUUUAGUAUAGUAAGGUGAGCGCUGAAGCGCUGCACGAAUCUUUCUUAGAAAGAUUCAGCGACGAAGUUCUGCCCCUGCAGAGCCCGACUCCUAGCUAAAAUCCCCUUGAAAGUUUCGUCAAAGGAAAUUAUUUUAAAGUAAACGAAGCGCUGUCCGAGUACCGAGUCACCACCUUCUCAGGUGUUGAUAUGAAGUCACAAUACACUGAGAGAUUUAAAGAGAUGUAGAUCACUAGUGUAAAUAAUUGUAAGUUCUGUUUAUGCUUAUGUUUCUGUAUUAACGAUGACAUCCCAAACGUUUUAAAAUGAAAUAAAUACGUUUCAUCGAAAAUGUUUUAAUAACGUAUUUACCAUGUUUUUCUGGGAACAAAUUCCGCAACAUUUUUAUAAAAUGAAGUACUCUGAUUUUUAUAAAGCAUAAACAAAAUCGGUCUUUUCUGGCCGUGAAAAUGGGGAUGUCACAGUUGGUAUCAGAGCAUUAGUUUAAGCGAACUAGGAAUAUGGAUUUAUUUCUAGACUUAAACUUAGAAUGCUAAGCGAUGAUUGUGAGGUGUGAGCACUAGCUUAUUUUAGGAAUUGUGCCUAAAAUGCUUUUAUGUGCUAAAUACUUGUGCCUGAUAUGCUGUUAGUUGUUCGGAUCUAUGGUCUGUUGCCGACCGGAUCUGGAAACCUUAUGUGUUUAGGAUUCUAAACGUACGACUACGAUAUUAGAACUAGCAUAUAAACGUUUCGGAGUGAUAAGGAUGAUUUAACCGUCAAUCCUAAGUAAAGAUCUGGAUUCACCUUAUUCGGUGUAUAGAUCAAGAUGGCAAGAACCCGUAGUGGAAACGUGAAUGCAAAUGGGAACGGACACCAACCCCCCGUGAUCGAGCAAAUACCAGUUGUGGAAGCCGCUGUCGGACCAAUAACGAUGGCCGGAGUGCAAGCGAUGAUCCAGGCAAUGUUGGAUCGUCAAAUGGAGGAAACUAGACGUUUGCUCCAGCAAAAUCAUGAGGAAGCCACUAUUCAGAUCGAACAGCCCGAGUUGAACGAAGGGCAGACUGAGGAAGGAAACUACAGUGGGACUGUUGGUCAAGUCAACCCACCAAUAGUUCGACAAAACAACCAAGAUGACAAAGUCGAGAGGAAUGGAUGCAAGUACAAGGAUUUUCUGACUUGCAAGCCAUCGACUUUCACUGGA